GAUGAACGCUGGCGGCGUGCCUAAUACAUGCAAGUCGAGCGAACGGACGAUAAGCUUUCUUCUCUGAUGUUAGCGGCUGACGGGUGAGUAACACGUGGAUAACCUACCUAUAUGACUUGGAUAACUUCGGGAAACCGUAGCUAAUACCGGAUCAUAUUUUCAACCGCAUGGUUCAAAAGUGCUAGACGGUUUUGCUGUCACUUAUAGAUGGAUCCGCGCUGCAUUAGCUAGUUGGUAAGGUAACGGCUUACCAAGGCAACGAUGCAUAGCCGACCUGAGAGGAUGAUCGGCCACACUGGAACUGAGACACGGUCCAGACUCCUACGGGAGGCAGCAGUAGGGAAUAUUGCGCAAUGGGCGAAAGCCUGACGGAGCAACGCCGCGUGAGUGAUGAAGGUCUUCGGAUCGUAAAACUCUGUUAUUAGGGAAGAACAGAAGUGGAAGUAAAUGUGCACAUCUUGACGGUACCUAAUCAGAAAGCAACGGCUAACUACGUG
rnacentral:rRNA from 1 species